AUACUCUGGUUUCUCUUCAGAUCAUAUAAAUCUUUUGCCUUUUACUAAAGAUUUCCAUGCAGGGGAACAAUUCUGUGUGUUUACUUAAUUUUUUGAGGCCCUGCUUUGGCAAGGCU